CGGGGCUUCUCCCGUU
rnacentral:tRNA from 1 species